rnacentral:rRNA from 1 species
GACGAACCGUGCGAACGUUAUUCGGAAUCACUGGGCUUAAAGCGCGUGUAGGCGGGGCAGCACGUCGGUUGCUGAAAUCCCCCGGCUCAACCGGGGAACGGGCACCGAUACGACUGGCCUGGAGGGGAGUAGGGGGACCUGGAACUUCCGGUGGAGCGGUGAAAUGCGUUGAGAUCGGAAGGAACGCCCGUGGCGAAAGCGAGGUCCUGGGCUCCUGCUGACGCUGAGACGCGAAAGCCAGGGGAGCGAACGGG